rnacentral:rRNA from 1 species
UACACAUGCAGUCGAGCGGUAGAGAGAAGCUUGCUUCUCUUGAGAGCGGCGGACGGGUGAGUAAUGCCUAGGAAUCUGCCUGGUAGUGGGGGAUAACGUUCGGAAACGGACGCUAAUACCGCAUACGUCCUACGGGAGAAAGCAGGGGACCUUCGGGCCUUGCGCUAUCAGAUGAGCCUAGGUCGGAUUAGCUAGUUGGUGAGGUAAUGGCUCACCAAGGCGACGAUCCGUAACUGGUCUGAGAGGAUGAUCAGUCACACUGGAACUGAGACACGGUCCAGACUCCUACGGGAGGCAGCAGUGGGGAAUAUUGGACAAUGGGCGAAA